GCUGCCGUAGCUCAGUUGGUCAGAGCGCCGGAUUGUGGAUCCGGAGGUCGCUGGUUCAACCCCAGCCGGCAGUGCCA
rnacentral:tRNA from 1 species